CCCCAGCCCUCCGCCCGGGUCGGCCGCGCGGGAGGCGAAGGAAGGCUGGGCUCACCAGGUCCCUCCGGGCUGGACGGCGCCGGGGGCCGGUGGGGCGGGGACCCGCACCCGGGGUCCCCCUGGGCGGGCUCCCUCAGCUUAAAUUCGUACUAGAAAAACUUCACCAUUUUAACAAUACCGUCACCUUUAUACCUGGUUAAAAAUACAGAAUGUUUGGGCUGUGCCCCCAGAGUGUAACUCGGUGUUUGUGAGAAAGGACCCAGGAAUCUACAUAACCAGCAAUCAUCCAUGUGUUCAGAUAUUCUGGACCUCCUACCGGACCCAUCUGGUAGAAUGCCACAAAGGAUACUACCUGCUCCAGACCGUACUGCUACUAGAUGGGGACGCCAUCUGCAACAACCUGGAUGCCUGAGAAACCUUGUGGAUCAGAACUCCUCCCCCUCAACCUCAGCCUGUGUUUCCUGGAAACAGAUGAGCAUGGAGACCUGAAUUCAUUAAAGAUGGCAAAGCCACAGCUAGAAAGAACCUGGGUCCCUGAAUCCAUCCUUAGAGGGGAGCCACACACACCACUCAAGAACAUUUCGGACUUGAACGUGAAAUAAAUUUCUAUGAGAAUGGAGAUUAUAAAAGUAUCUACACCUCAUGGGGUUAUGUGAAGAUUAUGUGGGAGAAUACACAUAAGCACCCAGCCCAGUCCUUGAAAUCUGCUAAGAUGAUUCUCAAUAGUAAAAAGUACACUUCAGAAGAGCAAGGAAUGCAAUGGAAGUUUAAAACAUGCUGAAGGCUACUCUUCUUUCAAAAUGCCAGAAGCUAGUAAUUCAGGACCGCUCUCUUGCUUAUGUACCAGCACUGGAAUAUAAACCUUAAGAAAUAGAGAGAGCGCACACGCAGGGGGAGAGGCAUGCAAAGGGAGAAGCAGGUUCCCGGCUGAGCAGGGAGCCCAACGCGGGACUCGAUCCCAAGACCCUGAGAUCGUGACCUGAGCCGAAGGCAGACACCCAACCAACUGAGCCACCCAGGCGUCCCUGUUAAAGCUGUUCAUGUGGAUAAAGUUACCACUCUGUAAGAGCACUGUGCCCUUUUUUGGAAGGAGGACCUGAGUGACCAAGCAGUCUGUCACUAAGCAAGAUCAAACUGCCAACAUUUUGGAUGACAGGAAGUUCAUAGUGACCUUGUCAAAUCAGAGAAAUGAUCAGCUGGAAACCUGACUUUCCCAGAGGAAUGAGGUACUCUGCUGUGGUAGGAAGAACAAAAGUGUCCCUGUCCUAAUCCCUGGAACCUGGGAACAUGUGACCCUACUUACAUGGCAAAGAGGAAUUAAGGUUGCUAAUUAAUUGGCCUCGAGAUAGAGUGGCCUAUGCUGGCAUACGGAUCUUCAUGAGCCUUUCCUUGAGCAGACUGUAGGAUGCGGUCUCACCUGACACUUGACUCAAGAGCUACUCUUCCACGGGAAGACAGUCUGGGCAAUCACAACGAAGAGAUGAAUUCUGAAGAUCAAAGACUAUAGAGUUAGAGCCUAAUUGAAGUCAUAACAACAAAAGCCAUGAGCAAACUAAUGGGUAAGGAAAGAAACUAGUCUAUAGUCGAGAAUGGAAAAGACUUACAGGGAAGAGUGAAAAUGAAAGACCUUGGGGAAGCAGGGAGAGAGAGACAACCUUGACUCUUGACUUUCUGGGACCAAGUCCAUCUCCAUGAAGCCUGGACUCUGGGUGUUGCCGCUUGCCCAAUCAUUAUCAUCUCUAUCUUCUUCUGACUAUGAUUGGGUCAGUUUUAAUUUCUUGUGACUCAGCCUUGACUCAAAAGAAAACUACCAUUUAAACAGUAUGAAACAUGCUGCUGGAAAAUUUAUAUAUUUUUUUCAUUUGACCUUACUAAAGCUCUGAAAAACAUCACUCUUAUUUUAUAGGCAAUGAAAGGAAAAAAGGAAGCUUUUGUUCAACAUUGUAGAGCUUUGCCCAACUCUGGGAUUUUCAGCUUAGGACUGUCCAUCUCCAUCAUGCCACACAACCAUCACCAUUACACCUGAAGACAGUUUCUUCUCAGUAGCUAACAAGGCUCCUCCACAGUCAUAAAUGUUGUUGUUUGCCUGGAAUAACUGGAAUCAUGUCCAGAAUAUCCCUAGGGUGACGGUGUUUCCUUACUCUUAACACAAUAAAGCCAAAGCUGCCAUUGGAAGUCUUAGCCCUCACCCCAAUUCUGCAAAUCUGAUGGUACUGCAUACAGCGGUUGAGGGCAUAAUGGGUAAGUGGAUCUUUC